rnacentral:misc_RNA from 1 species
UGGCUCAAUUCUACACUCCAUUUAUUUCACCAAAUAAAGCAAGUCAAAAUAGCAAAUAUAAUGAAAGAAUCACAUUGAAAAUUUCAAUCCAUACAUUAUCACAAUCAAGAAAGCUUGUUAUGAAACCUAAAACACAAUAUGACCAAAACUGCGACAAGAAUUGCCUCGUUUACAACCCUCCAACCUCACGCACCAACCCAAAAAGUAAAAGCAAAAAAAAAAGACCACAAAUGCCUACACUUUCUUUCUCUUCCUCAUUGACUUGAUUCCAACUAUAAAUAAUAUACACAUUCUACAAAAAAGAUUCAUCUCAAUCUCAAUGACCGACUUUCACACUCAAUCCAACUGAUGACAGGUUGCUGCAGAACAUCGUGCAAAAACAAAUGAUGGAAACCAUCUUAUGGGAAAGAAUGGGUAAUAAAUAUACUUCCACACAGACUGAAUGGAGACAGAAUUUUGAGAAGGGCUUGCCAACGCCAGGCACUAUGAUGACAGAAUGGAUUGCAAUGCCAUCUGUUGCUGUGGAUGCAACAAUGACCAAGUGGAAGCCAAUGUUGCUGGUGGUAAAGUCUGCUGAAGGUGUCUCAACAGGUUAACCAUUCGGGUUGCAGUUUGUUCUGUUGCCAGAUCCUUACCACAUAGAACCUAUAAUAAAGGUGGUUUUCUUGAUAAGAAAAUACAAUUUGCAGGCAGCUUUCACUUGCAAUUGUACCACAUCAAUAUUUAGGAAUAAAUAAUUAAUAGGAAAAUUUAAUCCAAAACAACGGUGGUAAUGAUUUAAAAAAGCAAUUCCAGUCAUUGAACCAGAAAAUUAGCCACUAACCAGCAAAUGAGAACUUGAAACAAAAAUAAUACGGGUGCUAGCUGUUACUUGGUCAAGCACAUUAAAAUUCUCACAUUAAAAUUCUAACUAUAAUUUUAGUACUAUGGCUAAUAGAGGAAAGAAACUUGAAAUAGAUAUAGCGAUGAAGUGUCCAACUGUAACUUUGCAGAAUUUCCAAGUUAUGCAAAGGUUUAAACUCUAUAUUUAAUUGUGAUUUGAUUAAAAAUAGGCUAAUAAGCAGAAGGGGCAAAAAAUAAUACACAGCCACACUUAACCUGCAAUCAAGGGGUCAAGCAUUCAAGAAGAGAUGAAGAGGGGAGGGGAGAGAGAGCAUUGGUAAAUUCAUUAAACCUCCAAUCAAAAGAUCAAGAGUUCUAACCAUGAUAAACUGUGCAAUUUUGAAAGAUGAUGCUACAGCUUAAGAAGCCACUACAUCACCUGAUUUAAAUCUGCUCCAGUCCACCAGCCAAACCUAGGUUGGUUUGACCAGCUCAUGGUCAGAGUGUUAGGAUCAAUUGGUCUCUGGUCAAGACCAUUUGUAGGUUUAGGAAUACCCAUAUCAACUGCUAGAGACUAAUUCGCAGCUGACCUUGUUAGACCAGCCAGUUUGAUCCAGGCUUUAGAGUCUAGACUGCCGAAAAGAGAAUUGACCACCAGUAACCAUAUAGUAUAAUAAAACCAAUGAAAGUUUAGUAGAGUGAUUCAAAACUUGGGUGCAAAUGGACAUCAAACUAGCUUGAUUGCCAGAUGACAUAUGGAAGAUAUAGGACAUAACCAUAUGGUUAGUAUGUCCACAUUCUGGCGUACAUUAGAUCAGACAUUGGGACAAUGGAAUCUCGUCACCCUGAUAGAACCAUAGAUCACACAUACAUGAAGCCCUAGGAUUAUUUAAAAAAAUAACAAUUGCAAUAUUUUGACAUUUAGGAAUUGUACAGGUCUAAAUCUACUCAUGAAUAACUAACCUCGGCAAAUACCGAAACAAUCUUAGGUAGAUACUGAUUGUUGGGGCCCAGAAGCUCACUGUCUGACCUCUCCACCAUUGAACAAAGCUGUUCAUGAACAACUUUUGCUUCAAUCAAAUCACCCUUUAUUGGCAAACAGUUUAACCAUGCAGGAACAACCUGCCAAACAUGAAGGCAGUUACAAACCACAAGAGAACUGCUAAAAAUACCAGCAAAUUCCACAGUGAGAAACCGAAAAACAAAUUUCCAGAAACUACUUCAAUAUAUCAUAAAUCCAGCCAAUUCUGGGUAAUGAUACUUCAUUCACCAAUGAAUUUCUUUCAAAUGUUCAAUAUUUUAUCCACCUUAAAUCAAUGAAAUUCCCAUAUUUUUGCAACCACAGCAAAAUACAAGGGAAUUAAUUUUCCAGUUCUCAGUUUUUACCUGGGGUAGAUAUCAAGGAAAAUUAUAAAGAUCAUAGAUAACUGAUUACAUAUGUUCACGUUCCACAUACAUUCUUUGACGGUCACAAGGAAAAGGUGAAUUACAACUAGAAAGGGAAGUCAAAAUACCUCUGACAGCCAUAACUGUUAAGGACAAAAACAGAAACAAUGCAUCCGACAAGAUGUUUAGAUGUAACGCCUAAUAAUGACAUUUGAUGCAUGAAAUCAUAGAUAAAGUCAUGUACGAAUGCAUACAGUAAAAUAGUUAACAAGCUCUUUCCAUCUCCCAUUGAACAGGAGAGAAAUUCUCCCAUUGGUUUGGAUUUAUGGUUGCAUUUGCACAGAAGUAAAUGAUUGACCAGCAACAGUUCCAAUUUCUACAGACUGUUGUAGAGACAUUAUUAAGUAAUGUUGUAUUUGCAUCCAAUUUGUGAAAUUGCAUGGACGAUUAGAAAUUACUGAAGGAUUUGUAAACUAGUAAACAUUCAGAUUCGAAAUGCAAAAUUUGUUAGCAUUAGAAAUUAGCUAUAUAUCCAAGGUACAGCUGGAGCCUCAAGGUUCUCAUGCAGAUGCAACCAUCAGCAUCAUGCCUCUUGUAUGGAAGCAAAUACAGACAUUAAAAGAAAUAAUUGGGGGGGCACUAGUUGCAUCAAUGACAAUGCAGGUGUAAUGGUAGCCAGCUGCUACUGUGACAUCAUUCCCACUUUUCGAUGUUCAUCUACCAAGCAUCUUGGGAUAAUUGGAUAUCCUCUAACACUCUAAUAUAAUUUACAACAUAAACAGAUACAAAAUAAAUACUGAAGUACCUGCGCUGAAUCAAUACUUUCACGAUGAAACUGGCAAAUUUUCCCCAAAGCAGAAACAGCGUUAUCAUAUGCCAUGACAUUUUCAGGUUGCUUAGCAGUAGGAUGUCGUAUCACAACAUUUAGUCUCGAAAGAGCCUCUCCAACAAGAGGUUUAAAUACAGAGCCACCAAACUCUGCACAAACUCCAAGUCCAUAUACAGCUGCCUGUCGAACAUCAGGAUUAUCAUCAUUGCAAGCCUCUAAUACGAAUGGAAGAAAUGUAUCAUAGUAUUUAAGUGCUGUCUCACGACAUUGCUCUGCCACAUCAUCAAAAAUGCAAAUUGCAAUCCUUCUCUCCUCAGCAGUCUUAUCUUUGCCCCACAUUGGAGUUAGAUAGGUUGAUAGCUCAUCAAAAAAAGGCAAGAAAGCAGCUUUAAAUGUUUUUAUCAAUGUCCCCAAGAUUUCACCCACUUGGUCAAAAACAUCCUCCUCUUGCUCAUUUUCCUCUUUAAUCAACUCUCCCUCCUCAACAUCAAAGUCUUCGGCUUUGGUUCUCUCUGCCCUCUCUCUUUUCCUACUAGAACUAGCUGUGAUCACCUGUUUUAUCUCAUCUAUGAUAGAUCGCACCUGACCUUCAUCAACAAGUUGUCCAGAUAUCUGUAAGCAUUCAUUUAGUGCAUCCAACAUAUUUGCACAAAUCUCGGUAUCAGGCUCCUUAUGUAAUGCUUCUACCAAAGCUGGAAUAAUAUAGUCAGACAGCUGUUUUACAUAGGACUCAUUGCGACCUUGAGAGAACCCCUUCUCUACAGCUAAUUUUGCAGAACGCAGUAGCUCUGGCAUGGCUGAAACAGCUGCUUUCCUGACCUCUUCAUGGAAAUAAAAUUUCAGAAGAGGAACUAGGGUUGGGGCAACCUGAUCAAUCCAUGGAAAGAAUCCUUCCUUAAGCUCAUCUGCAUAGCAACAUAACAUGUUACAUGCAGUUGCUUUUUCUUCCAGGACACUAGUCUUGAUCCCUAUUCUU